GUACCCCAAAACACAACAUAUCCUCAUAAAGCUUACAUCCCCUGAUAGCCCUGAUCUGGGUGAACAACAUAUCCAAACAUCACCAAGAUCAGAGCAGGGGUUCAAGAAAUUCCUGGAAGUCUUAUUUUUGACCCACCACACACAUGGUUCCAUGCCGAAAACAGUUCCAGAGAAUUAGGGCUAAUGGUCGGUCUCUCUGUUUGGAGUACAAAAGUACAUACUUCACAUGAACUGAUCCUUUUAAAGUACAUUGGGCAAGGUAUAUUCCAG